UCAGCUUCUUUUGGAAUAAUUCUUCUUCCUAUAUUUAGCGAGGGAUCGUUUGGUCUAGGAAGAGGCGGUGGAAACGAUCUUGAAUCUAACUAAUGGAGGGAGGGAGAGAGGUUAAAAUGAAAUAGAAAGGAAGAGAAAGAAAGAAUCUAUCAAGAGUGGAUCACGUGAUAUUGUCCUCUCUGAUCUGGUAAAGGAGGAGUUAGUAAGAAUACAGUAACACGUCAAAUAGCACUGGGACUAGUUGAAGAAGGAAAGAAAGUUGGUAUAUUGGAUAUUGAUUUAUGUGGUCCUAGUAUACCUCACAUGUUUUCAUUAACUGGUAGAGAUGUACUUCAAGGGACUGAUGGUUGGAUUCCAGUAUAUGUUGAUGAUACUCAAA